rnacentral:rRNA from 1 species
GACGAACGCUGGCGGCGUGCUUAACACAUGCAAGUCGAACGGAAAGGCCCUGCUUGCAGGGUCGUCGAGUGGCGAACGGGUGAGUAACACGUGGGUGCUCUGCCCUGCACUUCGGGAUAAGCCUGGGAAACUGGGUCUAAUACCGGUUAGGAGCCAGUUUUAGUGUGAUGGUUGGAAAGUUUUUUCGGUGUUGGAUGAGCUCGCGGCCGAUCAGCUUGUUGGUGGGGUAAUGGCCUACCAAGGCGGCGACGGGUAGCCGGCCUGAGAGGGUGGACGGCCACAUUGGGACUGAGGUGAGGCCCAGACGGCUACGGGUGGCAGAUGUGGGGAAUCUUGAACAAUGGGCGCCAGCCUGAUGAAGCGACGCCGCGUGGUGGAUGACGGCCUUCGGGUUGUAAAAUCCUUUCGCUAGGGACGAAGCUUUUUGUGACGGUACCUAGAUAAGAAGCACCGGCUAACUACGUG